rnacentral:rRNA from 1 species
AACGAACGCUGGCGGCAUGCCUAACACAUGCAAGUCGAACGAGACCUUCGGGUCUAGUGGCGCACGGGUGCGUAACGCGUGGGAACCUGCCCUUAGGUUCGGAAUAACUCCCCGAAAGGGGUGCUAAUACCGGAUAAUGUCUUCGGACCAAAGAUUUAUCGCCUUUGGAUGGGCCCGCGUUGGCUUAGCUAGUUGGUAGGGUAAAAGCCUACCAAGGCGACGAUCCAUAGCUGGUCUGAGAGGAUGAUCAGCCACACUGGGACUGAGACACGGCCCAGACUCCUACGGGAGGCAGCAGUGGGGAAUAGUGGACAAUGGGCGAAAGCCUGAUCCAGCAAUGCCGCGUGAGUGAUGAAGGCCUUAGGGUUGUAAAGCUCUUUUACCCGGGAUGAUAAUGACAGUACCGGGAGAAUAAGCUCCGGCUAACUCCGUG